UCUGUAGCUCAGUUGGUAGAGCAACGGACUCUUAAUCCGUGGGUCCUCGGUUCGAGUCCGA
rnacentral:tRNA from 1 species